UACGAAGGGGACUAGCGUUGUUCGGAAUUACUGGGCGUAAAGCGCACGUAGGCGGAUUUGUUAGUCAGGGGUGAAAUCCCGGGGCUCAACCUCGGAACUGCCUUUGAUACUGCAAGUCUCGAGUCCGAUAGAGGUGGGUGGAAUUCCUAGUGUAGAGGUGAAAAUUCGUAGAUAUUAGGAAGAACACCGGUGGCGAAGGCGGCCCACUGGAUCGGUACUGACGCUGAGGUGCGAAAGCAUGGGGAGCGAACAGGAUUAGAUAC
rnacentral:rRNA from 1 species